rnacentral:rRNA from 1 species
AUCCUGGCUCAGGAUGAACGCUAGCUACAGGCUUAACACAUGCAAGUCGCGGGGCAGCAUGUGGUUGCUGCAACCAAUGAUGGCGACCGGCGCACGGGUGAGUAACGCGUAUCCAACCUGGCCCAUAGUAGGGGAUAGCCCGGCGAAAGUCGGAUUAAUACCCUAUGUUCUUCUUUGAGGACAUCUGAAAUGAAGCAAAGGUUCACCGCUAUGGGAUGGGGAUGCGUCUGAUUAGCUUGCCGGCGGGGUAACGGCCCACCGGGGCAACGAUCAGUAGGGGUUCUGAGAGGAAGGUCCCCCACACUGGUACUGAGACACGGACCAGACUCCUACGGGAGGCAGCAGUGAGGAAUAUUGGUCAAUGGGCGAGAGCCUGAACCAGCCAAGUAGCGUGCAGGAAUGACUGCCCUAUGGGUUGUAAACUGUCUUUUAGUAGGGGAAUAAAGUGAGGUAUGCAUACCUUUUUGUAUGUACCCUAUGAAUAAGGACCGGCUAAUUCCGUGCCAGCAGCAGC